ACAUGCCUACAACAUAGUGGUAAUGCACCGGAUCUCAUUAGAACUCAUUAGUUAAGUGUGCUUAGGCUAGAGUAGUACUGGGAUGGGUGACCUCCUGGGAAGUCCAAGUGUUUUACAUGCC
rfam:Picea glauca, whole genome shotgun sequence.